GGUUCAAUGGUCUAGUGGUUAUGAUUUCUGUCUUACACACAGAAGGUCCCCGGUUCGAGCCCGGGUUGAACCA
rnacentral:tRNA from 1 species